CGGGACUUAGCUCAGCUUGGUAGAGCGCUCGCUUUGGGAGCGAGAAGUCGCAGGUUCAAAUCCUGUAGUCCCGA
rnacentral:tRNA from 1 species